rnacentral:rRNA from 1 species
AGUGAACGCUGGCGGUAGGCCUAACACAUGCAAGUCGAACGGCAGCACGGUAAGAGCUUGCUCUUACGGGUGGCGAGUGGCGGACGGGUGAGGAAUACAUCGGAAUCUACUUUUUCGUGGGGGAUAACGUAGGGAAACUUACGCUAAUACCGCAUACGACCUACGGGUGAAAGCAGGGGAUCUUCGGACCUUGCGCGAUUGAAUGAGCCGAUGUCGGAUUAGCUAGUUGGCGGGGUAAAGGCCCACCAAGGCGACGAUCCGUAGCUGGUCUGAGAGGAUGAUCAGCCACACUGGAACUGAGACACGGUCCAGACUCCUACGGGAGGCAGCAGUGGGGAAUAUUGGACAAUGGGCGCAAGCCUGAUCCAGCCAUACCGCGUGGGUGAAGAAGGCCUUCGGGUUGUAAAGCCCUUUUGUUGGGAAAGAAAAGCAGCAGGUUAAUACCCCGCCGUUCUGACGGUACCCAAAGAAUAAGCACCGGCUAACUUCGUG